rnacentral:rRNA from 1 species
AUGAAACACUCCUACGGGAGGCAGCAGUGGGGAAUAUUGGACAAUGGGCGAAAGCCUGAUCCAGCAAUGCCGCGUGAGUGAUGAAGGCCUUAGGGUUGUAAGGCUCUUUUACCAGGGAUGAUAAUGACAGUACCUGGAGAAUAAGCCCCGGCUAACUCCGUGCCAGCAGCCGCGGUAAUACGGAGGGAGCUAGCGUUGUUCGGAAUUACUGGGCGUAAAGCGCGCGUAGGCGGUUACUCAAGUCAGAGGUGAAAGCCCGGGGCUCAACCCCGGAACUGCCUUUGAAACUAGGUGACUAGAAUCUUGGAGAGGUCAGUGGAAUUCCGAGUGUAGAGGUGGAAUUCGUAGAUAUUCGGAAGAACACCAGUGGCGAAGGCGACUGACUGGACAAGCAUUGACGCUGAGGUGCGAAAGCGUGGGGAGCAAACAGGAUUAGAUACCCUUGUAGUCCGAAGUUC